rnacentral:rRNA from 1 species
AGAGUUUGAUCAUGGCUCAGAACGAACGCUGGCGGCGUGGAUAAGACAUGCAAGUCGAACGGGAAUUUUGAAAAGCUUGCUUUUUAAAAUUCUAGUGGCGGACGGGUGCGUAACACGUGAGCAACCUGCCCAAAAGAGGGGGAUAGCCCGGGGAAACUCGGAUUAAUACCGCGUAUGGUACGGAAAGGCAUCUUUCCAGUAUUAAAGGUGGGGAUCACUUCGGUGACCUGCCGCUUUUGGAUGGGCUCGCGGCCUAUCAGCUUGUUGGUGAGGUAAAGGCUCACCAAGGCUACGACGGGUAACUGGUCUGAGAGGACGAUCAGUCACACUGGAACUGAGACACGGUCCAGACACCUACGGGUGGCAGCAGUCGAGAAUCAUUCGCAAUGGGGGAAACCCUGACGGUGCGACGCCGCGUGGAGGAUGAAGGCCCUAGGGUCGUAAACUCCUGUCAUUAGAGAGUAAGACUUAUCGGUUAAUAACCGGUAAGUUUGAUAGUAUCUGAAGAGGAAGGGACGGCUAACUUCGUGCCAGCAGCCGCGGUAAUACGAAGGUCCCAAGCGUUGUUCGGAUUUACUGGGCGUAAAGCGUGCGUAGGCGGCGAGGUAAGUCAGAUGUGAAAUCCCGGGGCUCAACCCCGGAACUGCAUCCGAUACUGCCUUGCUAGAGUAAUGGAGGGGCAUCUGGAAUUCAUGGUGUAGCAGUGAAAUGCGUAGAUAUCAUGAGGAACACUAGUGGCGAAGGCGAGAUGCUGGACAUUUACUGACGCUGAGGUACGAAGGCCAGGGUAGCGAAAAGGAUUAGAUACCCUUGUAGUCCUGGCAGUAAACGGUGCUCGCUUGGUGUGGGGAGGUUCGACCCUCUCCGUGCCGGAGCUAACGCGUUAAGCGAGCCGCCUGGGGAGUACGGUCGCAAGACUAAACUCAAAGGAAUUGACGG